AUGCACUGUUUUUCCAUAGAGAAUAGAAGUGGAGAGUGGGGCAAAGUACUUCACCCUAGUGUGAUUCAGAAUCUUCUUGGGCUCAAGAGAAUGCCACUGCCUCUACCUCCAAUCCUCAACAUCUUGCCGGAGAUUUUGAUUCAUCUUUCUACAGCUUACAAUAGGACACGUAUUUGAGUAUAAAUGCUAAUGGGAACAGAAAAGUGGAGAUUACUGAGGAGAAGAGCUGGUGGGACAAGUAGAGGUAGGAGCAGAUGUCUGUGGUUUUGAUUUUAAGAUGAGAGA
rnacentral:lncRNA from 10 species